ACGAACGCUGGCGGCGUGGAUAAGACAUGCAAGUCGAACGGGAGAAUUGCUAGCUUGCUAAUAAUUCUCUAGUGGCGCACGGGUGAGUAACACGUGAGUAACCUGCCUCUUAGUGGGGGAUAGCCCUGGGAAACCGGGAUUAAUACCGCAUACGAUUGAAAGAUCAAAGCAGCAAUGCGCUAGGAGAUGGGCUCGCGGCCUAUUAGUUAGUUGGUGAGGUAACGGCUCACCAAGGCGAUGACGGGUAGCCGGUCUGAGAGGAUGUCCGGCCACACUGGAACUGAGACACGGUCCAGACACCUACGGGUGGCAGCAGUCGAGAAUCAUUCACAAUGGGGGCAACCCUGAUGGUGCGACGCCGCGUGGGGGAAUGAAGGUCUUCGGAUUGUAAACCCCUGUCAUGUGGGAGCAAAUUAAAAAGAUAGUACCACAAGAGGAAGAGACGGCUAACUCUGUGCCAGCAGCCGCGGUAAUACAGAGGUCUCAAGCGUUGUUCGGAAUCACUGGGCGUAAAGCGUGCGUAGGCUGUUUCGUAAGUCGUGUGUGAAAGGCAGGGGCUCAACCCCUGGAUUGCACAUGAUACUGCGAGACUAGAGUAAUGGAGGGGGAACCGGAAUUCUCGGUGUAGCAGUGAAAUGCGUAGAUAUCGAGAGGAACACUCGUGGCGAAGGCGGGUUCCUGGACAUUAACUGACGCUGAGGCACGAAGGCCAGGGGAGCGAAAGGGAUUAGAUACCCCUGUAGUCCUGGCAGUAAACGGUGCACGCUUGGUGUGCGGGGAAUCGACCCCCUGCGUGCCGGAGCUAACGCGUUAAGCGUGCCGCCUGGGGAGUACGGUCGCAAGAUUAAAACUCAAAGAAAUUGACGGGGACCCGCACAAGCGGUGGAGUAUGUGGCUUAAUUCGAUGCAACGCGAAGAACCUUACCUGGGCUUGACAUGUAAUGAACAACAUGUGAAAGCAUGCGACUCUUCGGAGGCGUUACACAGGUGCUGCAUGGCCGUCGUCAGCUCGUGUCGCGAGAUGUUUGGUUAAGUCCAGCAACGAGCGCAACCCCUGUUGCCAGUUACCAGCACGUCAAGGUGGGGACUCUGGCGAGACUGCCCAGAUCAACUGGGAGGAAGGUGGGGACGACGUCAGGUCAGUAUGGCCCUUAUGCCCAGGGCUGCACACGUACUACAAUGCCCAGUACAGAGGGGGCCGAAGCCGCGAGGCGGAGGAAAUCCUGAAAACUGGGCCCAGUUCGGACUGUAGGCUGCAACCCGCCUACACGAAGCCGGAAUCGCUAGUAAUGGCGCAUCAGCUACGGCGCCGUGAAUACGUUCCCGGGUCUUGUACACACCGCCCGUCACAUCAUGGAAGCCGGUCGCACCCGAAGUAUCUGAAGCCAACCGCAAGGAGGCAGGGUCCUAAGGUGAGACUGGUAACUGGGAUG
rnacentral:rRNA from 1 species